rnacentral:lncRNA from 1 species
CCUCAGAUCAUGCUUUCCCCAUCCUGUAAGCUGUUGAAAUUUGGCAACUCUGUUUCUCAGGGAUUUCAUUUCCUCUGGGAAUUCUUUCCCAGAUUUCAUAAGCAAAUUGUGUAAAACUUUUCUUGCAAUUUCUCUUUGUUGCCUUAUGCAUGGGAACAGGGAGGCUGAAAUUAUGAGAGUCAAAGUGAUGCACCAGGAGGAGGAAAGGACCGGAUGUUACAUACCUGGCACUGACCUGCAGUGUUGUGGAAAGUGAGACACAGGUGAUAUCUCUGACGGCAGAGUAGGAAGACUGUAGUAGAAUGGAAGCAAAGGCAACCUGUUUCUCUCUAAAGUUAGAGAGGCAGAAGAUAGUGAAACAGAAAAGUUCCUCAAAACUAGACUCCAAAGCUCCUGAACUUGGCAUAAAACUUGGCGUAGUCCAGUGUUAUCUCUCCAGAGCUGUAUAAUGCACCAGUAAAAGGAUGCCUUUACUGGCCCAUACUGAGGACAGAAAUUGGCUAUCAGUUAGCUAUAUCUCCCUGUUAAAUAAUGAUUUUUGCUGCAGAUUGUAGAAACAGGUUGGCUUUGUGUGGUAUAAGUAUAUUUACAUAUACAGAUGCUGAGAGUUCCACGCAACUUAAUGCUGCCCUGAAAUAGUGCAUGUGUCAGUAGGAGCUAGAGGAAGCAGUGGUCACUUUUGAGAUACACGGUGUCAUAGCUGUGGUACAUACAAUGGGGACAGCACAACUAUUCCUUUCUCAAGUAUGUUUUAUGAUUAUUGAUAUAUCAGUAUUUUUCUUUUUUUUUUCCUUCCAUAAAAGCACUUGAAGGCUUUAAUGACAAAAAUGAUAGAGAGACUUAUGCAUCCCCACUAAUGAAUGCCAGUUUGUUUCAUUUUAGAAGUAUGGCAGUCUUUGGGUUCUGAAUGAGGCAGAGUUUCUGGGAAAAAUCGCCUGUCAUCAUGUUAUUGAAGAAUGAAUACAUGCAAGGAAGGCUUCUGCUAGUUUGCACAAACAACCUUAAGCCUGAUGUCCUCAAUCCCAUUCAUUUUUUCACCUUCAGCUUUAAUACAUUUUGUCAUUCAUGGUAGGGGGCUUAUGUGCAGUUUUCCACAUAAAACUGUACAAUAGAAAAUAGAAUUCUGAAGUAUCCCCUUUGAGUUUAGAAUUAGUAGAAUGUUACUAAAUAUCACUUCUCAGCCUGCAAGUGAUCCAGUUACAGCUAUACUUCUGUUUCAAUUGUACUUGAUAGAAGAGGGAAGAUUUGAAAUAGCUCUUCAUAUGUUGGUGCUGUUACGUCAUUGCAAUAUAUUAGAUGUGUAUGUUGUUACAGUGGAUCCACUGGUGUAUUCUUAUCAGUUUGAGAUCAGAAUAAAGCCUCAGAAGGGUUAUGAAUGCUACUCAAAGGCUAUCUAUCCUUUUACUGGUUACUACUUAUACUGCAGCCAUGAAAAAGAGAAGGCAUGCGUGCACACAAGUAGCCAAAAAAGAGAAGUGUAUUGUCAGAUCUAAAUACAGACUGUAUCAGGAUGC